rnacentral:lncRNA from 1 species
AUCUGAAAUUUGAGGUGGCUCAUUCUUUCCACUUCCUUGGAAGUCAAGCAACACAUCCAGGAAGUCCUUCUUAUGGUCCUCCGCCGCCGGCCCUCGUUUUAUCCGCUCUUGAACAAAUCCAGAAGCGAUUUUCAUGGCUAUUCCAAGGUCACGCUCCGCCUUCUUCCUUAAGCCCUGUGGGUCCAUCCAUCUCAGCCAUGGAAAAAAGUCCGCAAAGUUGGGAUGGCCUGACCACUCCAUAACCCUGACCAUAACCUCGAAGAACUCCGACCCCUCCUUGGAUCCUGGAUGCAGCAGGUCACAUGACAGCAUCAGGUUUCCCAGCAUGUUAAAUGACGCCAGAAAGACGAAGUGAGCCACCUGAAUUCCACGCCCCUCUCCUCCCACCCCACGCGCCUCCUCUUCUAUCCAUGACAACAUGUCAUCCACACAUUUUCUACGUACCCCGGCAGUCUCGUUGAUCCGCUUCGUAACCAGCAUCUCCAUCGUCAUCAGACGCCUCAAGGAGCGCCAGUGUGGGCCAUAUGGAGCCAGGGCCAAGGAGCUUUCAUGGUACCCCUGAGCGCGCAUGGUUUCGGUGAUGGUGCGGUCCGAGAAACAGAGGUCCUUGUUCUUGAACAGUUCAGCUGCCGCCUUCGAGGACUGAACCACCGUCGUCUUUAUAGCUCCUAAAUUCAGCCACACAACGUCCCCGUACUUGUGUCUCAGCCCCGCAAGGGUUUCGUGUGGCAUUGCUCCCAGAUCGAACAUGUUCCCGAAAACCGGCCAUCCCGGCGGUCCCGGAGGCAGCCGUACUGAACCCGACCUUCUCCUGCGAAGUAGGAGGAAUAGAACCGGGAUUACAAGGAUGAUACACCAUAGAAGAAUAUUUGAAGCCCAGUCGGCCAUGAUGCCUUCAAGGAAGCAUGUGACCUCCAUCUCCCUUAUGUAAGCGGAAGCAUGACCCCAGAGCAGUCCUUUGUUAAAUUGUUGUGUGAUUUGAGUAAUUGUGAGACCCUCUUGCGAUCCACGCACUGCACCAGUAGUUUGGAAUAGUCUGUUCCUUAGAUCAUCGAAAAACACCUGGUCAGCUGAACCCUUGAAUUGCCACGUGCCUCUCUCGUGUAAGACUGUCGACACGAUCCUUAUUACUCAAAUUGCAUCAAAUUGUGGCAAUAUCCCACUAUAUCUGGGUGAAAGUGACUUUGAUCUUAUUUAUUUAUUGUUAAUAUGUCAUUCCCUAUUUUUAUUUUUCAUGGCUCGCAAGUUGUGCCACAUAUUUCAAGUUCCGUGAUUCAUGUGAUAGGUGAAAAAUCUUUAUAUGAGAUCGGAACUGGUCCACUGGAGACAGCAAACACAUUUUAUAAGGGCGUCAGCUGUCCAUGAAUUUUCAAAUCCUAAUCAUCAUCAUCAUGUCUGGACUGGUCAACUGUUAUAUCAAAUAUUAAUAGCUUUAACUUAAACAUCUAUUUUUUCAUAUCACCGGCUUCCAUAUUAUAUUACCACAUCCUCUCAAAUUAUUAAAUUUCUGUCCUCUUUUGUAACUUUCAAAAGCAAUAUAUCAUUGGUUUUGGGGAAAGUCCUCCUGCUCGGGCUCUUGAGGGAAAAAUUCACGUAAUUAGUCCUAAAAUGCUUCGAGUACGUAGUUAACCAUACUAACCAGGUAAAAAUCCUCAAAGGGCUUAGAAUCUUAGAUUUUAUAAAGUAAAAUCUCUUAGCAUCUAUCCAUGCAAGUCCAUUAGAUUUGUUGGUUUCUACGAAAUAGGUCAGAAGGGAUUGAAGUGCACAAUAUAAUUAUUAUCCAUAUUCAUAAGAACUAGGGUAUUAAAUUAUAUACUGAUCAACACAAACCAAAUGUUUGUGAGUGCGAUUUAAGUUGUACUCUUAUAAAUAUGGAUAAAUCAUAUUCAUUAAGACACGAACUAGAGUCCUACUACCUUAAGCAUAAACCAAAGUCAUGUUCUAAUAAAUAUAAAUAAAAUCGUGUUCAUAAAAACAUUGAUAGAAAAUGUUUUCACAUGAAUUUAGUUAUAGGGACUUAGAGAAUAUUUUCUGUUGUAAACUACUUUUAUCUAUCAGAAAAAAUGAUAUGGGUAUUCAAAGAAAAAAGAUAUAAAAAUUAAGGAAAAUUCUAGAAAAAGUUAAAUGAAAAAUUAGUGUAACAACAUGCAGCUCCUUAUGCCAUAUGAGGCUUGGACAUAUGCACCAAGCGAACUUCCUACUUUUGCUUUAGAAUAUACUCUACAUUUUAGAAACAAUUGCUGAUUGAAUGAUUACGUCACCAAUUUUAUUUUUUAUAAUUUAUUUAUUUUUAUAAUGUAUUAGUUCAGCCAUUGACAAUUUGUUAAUUUGAUAAUUAACAAAUUAUUCCUUGAUAAUUAAUUUGUUAAUUUGAGUCACAGCCAUGGAAAAAAUAAAAAAUUCGUAGGGCAUUAGGUCAACAGAAAACACCACCCCCAGCACCAAUUUCCAUCCAAGAUGUACAUUUGUUUAUUUUUAUUUUUUAAAUGGUAUGAUGAUGGCAGGUGGCAACUGAUUCAUCUUUUACAUUUAAAUAGCUAAAUCAUGCUUGACUCGUUUUAUAAUUGCGUUAAACUCCCACCUGCUCCUUGACUAAAAGACUCACCAAACGCCAAUUCACCUACCCUUUUGAAUUUAAAAUAAAGUAUUACUAUUAAAUGUUACAUAGCUUAUUUACUAAAAUCGGAAAUUAUUAAUUGGCUGAAGUUGGGCUUGUCACUUUUUUCUUUUUCUUUUUAUUAUUAUCAUGAAAGGAGACUACGAAAUAUAAUACCUACAAAUACAUUGAAAGAGGUGUCAUAAUAAUCUUUAAAACUAAACUUUCUAACAUCGUAAAAAAAAUUUGACCAUCAAAUGAUUGAAUCUAGAUUACAAAUACAUUUCUUAAUUAAACAAUAUGUUGUUUUAUUCGUUUUCUUAUAAAUAUGACAAUGAUCAUAAAUAUAUAGAUCUUGAGAUAACUUUUAAAUAUCCUCAAUCAAUAACAUAAUAGAACUAGGAAUAAUAUAUAUAUAUAUAUAUAUAUAUAUAUUUUAUUAUAACAAUCUAUAACCAUUUUCAAGUAACCCUCAAUCUCUAUGUUCAAGAACUCGUUGUUCUUGGCAGCUAACAUGUCAUAUCUUAAAGUCAUAUAUUCUGUAAUAAUUAUUGAAACAUUACUUAUAUGUCUACUAGCAGUCAUUUUUAUAGUCCAUUAGAGUCUCUAAUAACCCAUCCUGAAGCACUGUUAUUCUCUAUCCUUGAAGCAUCAAAAUUUAAUUUGAAUCUUCCAUUAAUUGGAGAAAUCCAACGAAUCAAUUUUUCAACCAAUCGAGGGACUUUGCAUCAUUUGGUUUGAAGAUAUGAGUUAAUCAUAUAAUCCUGAAGAUUUUAGAAGUUUAAAGUCGUUUUCUCAAUUACGAGAAAGGGGUUGGGUUGGAUCUUCUUAAAUAAAACUUGAUUUCUAUGAAUUCAUACAUUUCACAAGAUAAUGGAAAUUUUUUCUAUAGAAUGCUUGUAAAUUUUGCAAUUAAUUUUAUAGUUUUUAUACAUUGUUUCAAGCUAAGAUGGGAAGUCGCCUUCAUAGAAGAGAGGUAUAGGGAAAUUAUACUUAAUACGCACUACAACAAAGUACAUGAUCAUGGAUGAAAUGUUUUGUCUCCAACAAUAUGCCUUUUGUAGCCAAAAGGCUUUCCUAACGAAAAGUUUCGUCUCGUUCAUUGUCUCGAUAUUUGUGUCACCCUAUGUUUUUGGAGAUGAAUAAUUAACGUUUGUUACGAAAAUAUAUUUAUGACAAAACAAAAUUUUGUGGCCGACACUAUUUGGAAACGAGUUUUUUUUGUGGCCUAAGAUAAAAUGUUUCGUUUGGAAUUAGAUUUUCAAAUAUCGAGUAAACUAUUUGGUAACAAAAUAUUUCAUUUGGCAACAAAAAAAUUUUGUCACUACAUGUUACUUUGUACAUUAGGAGAAACUAUUUUCAUCUCCAUUAUGUUGACACAUGGUUUCUACAACGAAAUAAUUUUAUCUCCAUAUAUUUCCACUUACAUUUGGGGAGGAAAUAUUUUCGUCUCAAAUUGUUGACAAUUAGUUUGGGUAACAAACAAAUUUUGUCUCUAAAUGUUUCAAUUACAAUUGGAGACAAAAUGAUUUCAUCUUGAAAAACUAAUAAUGUUUAGGCAAUAAAAUAAUUUUAUCUUGAAUUCAUAUAGGAGAUGAAAUAAUGAAACAAAGUUCCUCUUUGUAUUAUUUUCGGAUGAAAUAAUUUCCUCUCUAAAUAUAAUAUUAUUGUUAAUUUUUAAAAUUUUAAAUAAUCCUAUUGAAACCUACAUAAACCUAUAUGAUAUUGAACGAUUUCAAAUAUACAAUGAUAUUAUAUAAAUAAAACAUUUAAUAAUGUAAAAAUAGAAUAAUAUAUAGAAAAUAAGUAAACAUUAAAACAUUUGUUUCAUCAAUGCAAAACAUACGUGCAAAUAACAUUGUCCAAGUACCAUUCGAAUAUUGUCUAAAAUAAAAGUGACCAAUAAAUAAUAGCAAACCACAUAAUAAUAUCAACUCGAUGGUGACGGUGGUGGUUGGGAAGUUGAGCUAGAAUGAGGUGGUGGUUGGUUAGAAGUGUUGGUUUGUUGUGGCAUCAAAGUCUGGAUCAUUGCCUUUAAUUCCUCCAAUUGAGUGGUAGCUGUUGUUUUAAACUCCUCUAACUUUGUGAUUUGUUGUCGUAACCUCUCUGUUUCUUCAUCAGGAAAUUCAGUUGUAGUCGAACGCUUAAGUCGUGACCCAUAUCCCAAACCUCGAAUAUAACCUGAUCGCUUCCCUAGUACUCUUUGAGUUAUCUCCAAGUCAGAGAUAGGAGUAUCUCCAUCUUGGGUACUCUGCUCUUGAAGCUUACGCAUCUCUUCCUAAGAAAUAUAGUUUUCAAUUAGUGAACAUGUUACAUAGCAUAUAAUGAAAAGAAAAUUUUAAUUUUUGCAACUACAAGUAACAUGACUCUUACAUAUCGAGAUUUAGCUGUGUCAUUGAUCCAUCCCUUACUUUCAUUGUAGUGAGUGGCACGAAAUAACUCCACUUCCCCUUGCAACUCUCCAGUGGCAACACUCUUUUACAUGCACAUAAAAAAAUAAUUUAGUUAUUUUUAAAGAUAAGUAAUAAACUCUCUUUUCAACUUUCUAGGUGGAACAUGUCUUUUAAAUAAAUAGUAUAAAAUAAAACUAUUAUUUUAAAGAUAUAAUUUAGAAAAAUAUGUCAUACCAUUGAAUUAUGCUGACGAUGAAAUGCAAAUGGUUUAGAUCCACCACGAUGAUUGAAUGGAAGCUUUUCACGAUUUUCACUAUUUAUAGUAGCCCUUUUCUACACAAUAAUAUUACUAAAAGAGUAAGUAAAAGAAAAUGAAACAAAUUAUAGUAACCUAAGAAUUAAGAAAAUAUGUUAAAUAAAAACUUUACAAACAAUGAAACAUGUAAUAAAAUGUAGUCUUUCUACCACGAUUUUUGUAAAAUCUUCUCCAUUAUUUAUACUAUAUAUAUAUAUUCUCAUAUACAAAAUGUUAAUUUUUGGUAAUAAACCAACAUUCCAAUACAUAUAACAUUUCAAUAAUUCAUGGUAAACAAACAUUCUAAUAUAAUAUUUUAAUUAUUCAUAAGGAACCAACAAUCCAACACAACAUUUCAAUUUUCAACUUGUUUCAAGUGACAAAUUCCUACUUUUUUACUUCAAAAUAUACCAAAUACCAAUGAUCAAGAUGCUCUAGUAUACCCACACAACAUCAAAUAUGUUUACUAUUUUAUAUGUAAUUAUGUUAAAUAUGCACAAUACCUUAAAUUUUUCAAGAGAAAAAAGAUUGCACAAGUAAUCCCAAUCUUCUUGUGUGACAUCAUCUGGCGGGUGCAAACAUGCCUCCUCCACUGUCUCAAACUGCUUAAAAUGCUGGUGAAGAUCAUAUCUAUAUGUUCGAUAACGUUGUCCCAUAAUCUCAUGCACAUACUUAGUAAUGUAUGUUUUUGACAUAUCUAGAUCAAAUUUUGACUAAAAUUUAAAAUAAAAAUAAAAUAAAAAGCAUUAUAAUGUGUUAGUAUAAUUAUAGAUUAACUAAUUAAUUAAAACAUUUUUAACUAAUAAGAGCUCUUACUAAAAGGCGAUCAACUAAUGGUUGUGUAUCCAUAGCUGGAAUAGCUGACCAUUUCUCGAAUUGUAGUGGAGCAAAUUUUCUUAUGAGAUAGCCACACUCAUUAGAAAACUUUGCAGAUUUAUCACUAUCUUUUGGUCUUCCACUCUCUGUGUUGAAAUCUAACUUGAUUUUCCCUGACAUUUGUACAAUAGUAUCUGUGCCCUUACCUCUUGUAGGUCCACGACCCUUCUUUAAUGGUGGAUAUGAAUCUACAAUUUAAAAACAAAGUUAGAAUGCAUAGUUAAUGAUAAAAAUAAAAACAAAAACUUAAAAAAUGUAUUCUUACCAGUGCUAUUCCUAACUAUUGUCUGCAUUGAUGAUGGCAUAUUACUCUUAGUAGGAGUAGGAGUUGAAGAAAUUGGAGGAGAAGGAACAGAUGGUGGUGGUGGUGGUGGUGGUGGUGGUGGUGGUGGAGGAGGAGGAGGAGGAGGAGGAGGAGNNNNNNNNNNNNNNNNNNNNNNNNNNNNNNNNNNNNNNNNNNNNNNNNNNNNNNNNNNNNNNNNNNNNNNNNNNNNNNNNNNNNNNNNNNNNNNNNNNNNUAGUUUGCUCUGGGACAUCAAAUAUGUGUCUAUGAAGUACUUUUUGCACCACUUUCCAACUUUGAUCCUAACUUUGGAUCCAUUUAUGUAAAAGAUUUGUUGUGCUUGGCUUGCAAGAACAUAAGGAUCUUCUUCAUACCACUUAUUAUCCACAUUAAUGCACCUAAGGACACCAUCAUCUUGCAAUCUCUUUUUAUUGGGAUCAGUAUCAAACCAUUCACACUUGAAUAGAACAACUUGGUUGUUGAAGAUAUAAUCUAACACAACAACAUUCAGCAACACACCAUAGAAAUCAAUCAUAUCCUCAUAAUGGUCACCCAAUACAAGAACACCACUAUUUUGAGUUGUGUGUCGAUCAUCUCGAUCUUUAGUGUGAAAUCGAAUUCCAUUUACCACACAACUAUGAUAUAAAGAUACUCUACGAUCAGGUCCAGAGGCUAAUGAAUACAACUCAUCAGUAGCUUCUGGUGAUCCUUGAUGGCGUAAUAUUUUCAUCUGCAUAAUUGAUAAGAUAUGUAAUUAAGAAUAUCAUUCUAAUUAAAUUUGUUUAAGAGAAAAAAUGUCUUGAGAUAUACAUACAUGAUUCGCAAACCACUUUGGGAAUAGCUGUUUUUGCCUUUGAAAUAAAUUAUCAUUGGUUUCCUUUUCCAAAUGCUCCAUGUGUUCACUAGUUGUACACACUUUUGUUAGUACAUUGCAUUAAUUAGCUAUUGAGUCAUAAAUAAUUAUAAAUGGUUGCAAAAAUAAUUUUAUGUCUUACCAUAAAUAUGAUUGUAGUUCUUUACAGUUGUUCAAGAUAUACCAGUGAGCUUUCUCUAUUUCGGCACGAGAGAACUCAAGUUGUUGGUAACUUCCAAAUGGGCGAGCUCUUUGAGAAAAAACAGAAAACCCAUUUGACUGAUCAUUCAAAUCAUCAACAUUUCGAUCUGGUCGAUUAAAUUUAGUCUCAAUUCCAAGAAGAUAUUGAGAACAAAAUGUUAAUGAUUCAUUCACAAUAUAAGCCUCUGCUAUUGAACCUUCUAGGUAAGCCUUAUUUCUUACAUAACUCUUAUAAGUCGAUAAAAUCCUGAAUAAAAACAAAGGUCAUUAAAACAUUAUUCAAAUUGUUAAAGAAAUUAAUUUUUAAAAUUGAAUAUAAAGUUUAUAAAUAUUACCUUUCAAUAGGAUACAUCCAUCUAAGUCCAACAGGUCCAGCAAGUUUUGCCUCAUGUGGUAAAUGUACAAGUAAAUGUACCAUAACAUCAAAAAAAGCAGGUGGAAAGAUCCUCUCAAGCUUACAAAGAAUCAACACAAUAUCAUGUUCUAAUAUUUCCAAAUCUUGUAUCCUCAAUGAUUUUGCACAUAACUUUUGGAAAAAACAUGAGAGUUCUGUAAGUGUUGUACUAAUAUCCUUCCUUAGAAAUUUACGGAUUCCAAUUGGGAGAAGUCGUUGGAGCAACACAUGGCAGUCAUGACUUUUGAGACCUAAUAUCUUUCCAUCUUCUAUGUUCACACGCUUUGAAAUAUUUGCGGCAUAUCCAUCAGGAAACUUGAUUGAUUUCAAAAAAGCACAAAAUUCUCUUCUUUCCAUUGAUGUUAAUGUGUAGCAUGCAUGAGGCUUCAAGUAUUUGUUACCAUGCAACACUAAAUGCAACUCCUUUCUUAUUUUCAUGUCUUGUAAAUCUAGUCGAGCUUUAUAUGUGUCCUUUGUCUUCCCUUCAAUAUUCAACAGUGUCCCCAUCACAUUGUCACAUACAUUUUUCUCAAUAUGCAUAACAUCAAGAAUAUGUCUUAUACUUAAUUUUGACCAAUAUUCCAAUUCAAAAAAUAUACUUCUCUUGGUCCAAUUUAAUUCACUAGGUAAUCGCUUCCUUUUCUUAUCUUUUUUGUUUAGAUUCUUACCCAAAAUAACAUGAUCAACAUUUUCUAAUUGCUUCAAUAUGUCAUCACCAGAAAAACUUUGGGGUGCUGGAUUCAUUUCCAACUUACCAUCAUGCAAUCUACUUUUACGCCAAGGAUGAUUAGUCGGCAUAUAACGACGAUGGCCCAUAUAACAUAUUUUGCUUCUCAAUGAUUGAGAUGAUGUGUCAACAUUGCAAACAGGGCAAGCCAUGUAACCUUUGGUACUCCAACCGGAUAACAUGCCAUACGCAGGAAAAUCAUUUAUUGUCCAUAAAAUUGCUGCAUGCAUUUUAAAAUAUUGACCAAUAGAGACAUCAUAAGUCUCUAUGCCAUCAUGCCAUAANNNNNNNNNNNNNNNNNNNNNNNNNNNNNNNNNNNNNNNNNNNNNNNNNNNNNNNNNNNNNNNNNNNNNNNNNNNNNNNNNNNNNNNNNNNNNNNNNNNNAGGCCACAUACUAUAUGAGUGACUCAUGUUACCAAAUGGAUUAAAACCAUCUGAUGAAAGACCUAACCUCACAUUUCUUGAUUCACUACUAAAAGAGGGGUACAUUCUAUCAAACGACUUCCAUGCUUCAGCAUCAGCCGGAUGCCUUAGCACACCAUCAUCUACUCGCUUUUCUUUAUGCCACCUCAUAUCACUUGCUGUAUGCCUUGACAUAAAUAGUCUUUGUAAUCUUGGUUUAAGAGGAAAAAAUCGCAAGCUUUUAUGUGGGAUUUUCUUGCCCUUUCCAUCAUUAAUCUUAUAUCGAUCCUCAUCACAUAUAGGACAUUUAUCUAAAAAUUCAUUUUCUUUCCAAAACAAUGCACAAUCAAACUUGCAAGCAUGAAUUUUUUCAUACCCUAAACCCAAAUCCCGUAACAUCUUCUUAGCAUCAUACGUACAUGAUGGAAGAUUUGUACCUUCAGGAAAUAUCUCACUUAACAAUUCAAGUAACAUAUCAAAUGAUUUAUUACUCCAAUGGUUAAGAACCUUUAGAUGCAUCAAUUUAACAAUGAAUGUCAAAGAUGAAAAUUUAGACCCCGUAAACAACUUUUUUCCAGCUUCACCUAACAACUCAUCAAAAUGUUUGGUCUCUACAUUAGUUGUCUCAGAUGUAGCAUCUCUAUUUGGUAUUGGGCCACAAACAUCACUCAAAAGUUCAAUCAUUUCAUCAUCGUCGUCAACAUCAUCAUUAACAGUAAAAGUUUCAUGAUGAUCUAACCUAUUAGGACCACUCAUAUCAUUUCUUUCAUUGUAUCACACUAACUUUUNNNNNNNNNNNNNNNNNNNNNNNNNNNNNNNNNNNNNNNNNNNNNNNNNNNNNNNNNNNNNNNNNNNNNNNNNNNNNNNNNNNNNNNNNNNNNNNNNNNNAUUUAUAUAAGUGGGUUUCAAUGUCAUAUAUGGAUUUCCAAAAUGCAAUUCUGACAAUGUUUACAUGGACAACGAGUCUUUCCAUUUUGAUCCACAUGAUUUUUUGCAACUUGAAGAAAUGUUUUAACACCAGUUGCAUAUUCAUCUGACAAUCUAUUGCAAAGAUUCAUCCAACUUUUAUCCAUUAGUCAAACCUGUAUGAUGCAACUCUUAUUCAAUUAUUUUUUAAAUUGUAAAAGCAUAUAAAAUAUAAUAUUAAAGCAAUAUUAACCUUAAUAACAACAAUAAUACAAAUAUAGAUAUUUAAUCUUAUUCAAUUAUUUUUUAAAUUGUAAAAGCAUAUAAAAUAUAAUAUUAAAGCAAUAUUAACCUUAAUAACAACAAUAAUACAAAUAUAGAUAUUAAAUCUUAUUCAAUUAUUUUUUAAAUUGUAAAAGCAUAUAAAAUAUAAGAUUAAAGCAAUAUUAACCUUAAUAACAACAAUAAUACAAAUAUGAAUAUUUAAUCCUAUUCAAUUAUUUUUUAAAUUGUAAAAGCAUAUAAAAUAUAAUAUUAAAGCAAUAUUAACCUUAAUAACAACAAUAAUACAAAUAUAGAUAUUUAAUCUUAUUCAAUUAUUUUUAAAAUUGUAAAAGCGUAUAAAAUAUAAUAUUAAAGCAAUAUUAACCUUAAUAACAACAAUAAUACAAAUAUAAAUAUUUAAUCAUAUUCAAUUAUUUUUUAAAUUGUAAAAGCAUAUAAAAUAUAAGAUUAAAGCAAUAUUAACCUUAAUAACAACAAUAAUACAAAUAUGGAUAUUUAAUCUUAUUCAAUUAUUUUUUAAAUUGUAAAAGCAUAUAAAAUAUAAUAUUAAAGCAAUAUUAACCUUAAUAACAACAAUAAUACAAAUAUAGAUAUUUAAGUGAUUAAUUGAAUGUCUAUAGUAAAUAAAAUCAGAUUAAUAGCAUUUUAUUAGAACUAUUAAAAGAGAUGAAAAUUUAAUUAAUAAAAAGACUAUUUAUGUAACUAAUAACAUACCUAAAAAUAUAAAGUAGUGAUAACAUACCUGAUUUGCUUUUUUUUCAAUGUUGUAGAACACCAAGAUCAGCAACAGCAGCAGCCUAUGAUGAGCAACAGAAGUAGUUGAUGGCAGUCCGUAGUGAUGGACAAUGAAUAUGAUGACGGGUUUGAAAUAAUGGAGAUGUUAUUUAAGGAGAAGCAGGAUGGAGGAUUUUUGUGGAGAGUUUAGGAAAGCUUUUUAUUCUGAUUUCUUUUUUUUAUUUUUGUUUCCAUUUAAUAUUUUACAAUUUUUUUUUUUUUGAUAGGCAAUUUAAUAUUUUACAAUAUUACUUACCAAUUCUUUAAAUAUUUUCCAAUUUUGAAGUAAAAUAUUUUUGGAUAGUUUUUUAUAACCAACGAGAACAUAGCAAACCAAAUUGCUCUAUUAUACCCAACAAACACACAAUAAAACCAAACCAAAAACAUAAAUUAUCACCAGAGAGCAACAUACUACCAAAAAAAAAAAAACGACAUGUUACCAAGAAAAAAAAAGCCUUCAACACAAUUUUUUUUAGUUGAACCCGAGAAAAACAAUACCUAGAGCGUGGCAACUCACGCGGAUUCUGCAGAGCCUCCCGAAGAAAUUGAUCCAUUUGGUUGAUAGAGUCCUCAGAAAUCAUCCCGGAACCAACCAGAACCAUCGAAGACGACAAAGCCGGAGCAGAAGCAAAAGCUGAAGCUGGUACCGAGGCAUCGAGAAAGGAAGAGGAAGAGGAAUCUUUCUUGGAUGAUGAAGAGGAAAGCAUCAAUUUGCUCAUUCUCUCGUCCAAAUCAGUGACCUCCCAAGACUCAGGGGCUCCAAGAUCGUGGAUGUAAAACAUAAUGUUGUGUUUUUCAGAUCAUGAUUUGCAGGCAAAGGUCGUGAAAUUUUAAUCCAAUGGUACAAAAUCAAAGCAAUCCCUAGAACAGAUCCAGAAUACACAGGAAGCAAAAAAAAAAAAAACGAGAAUGAAUUUUCCCGGAAAUCGAAUGAGGGAUGGAAUUUCUUGGAAUCAAACGGAGGUAACAAAAAAAGAAAAUAGUAGUAAUAAAAUUAAUUAAAACCACCUAGUCACCAGCAUCUGGGAGGAGGAGGAGGCGGCGGCACUGACCCGACGUAGCUCAACAAUGCAAUUCUGCGGCAGCAGAUUCAAUACGCCGAUGGGAGCUUUCUCCACUUGCAGACGAAUUCGGAUUCGACGUCCUCUCCGGCGACGGCCACGACGACGACCAACCAGUGGCUCUCGCGAUUGAUGAGCAACGUGGCCGCCCAAAACGACAACGUUCAGUUGUCUAGCGGGUCCGUGAUUGCUGCUAUAUUGGCAGAUUUGAACGGUAAUCAGGAAAAUCAAACGGAGGUUGCAAAAAAAGAAAAUAGUAGAAAGGGGUUCUCUGGUAUGUAAUAACAUGAUUAGAUUAGUACCUGCGAGGAUUGAGAGUGGAAGAGGAAAAUAGGGCCUUUUUAGGGAUUCUCUGGUAUGGAGGGCAACUUUUAAAAAGGGGUUCUUGAUGCCCGAGUGAAAAAGUGGUUGGGUGGCCCUUUUGAUUUUUAAAUUUAAUAGAAAGAAAAAAAAAAAAAAGACAAAUCAUGAGAACAAAUAUAAAUAAUUAUUAAUUAUCAUCUUUAUUUUGAUUAAAUAACUACCAUUCAAAUUUCGGUUUUUUUAGAAAAUAUUUUAUAAAUUAAAAUUAAUUUAAUAAGAUAAAUUAUUAAAUAUUUUAAUUAUUUAAAUUAAUUAAUGUUAAUGGAAAAAGUUGUUACUACAUAUUUUUAAUAAAAUUUUAGAAAUUAAAUCUCAAAUAAAAUACUUUAUAUAAAUUAAUUUAAUUUUUCAUUUAAAAUGUAAUAAAAACAUAUUUUAAUAAAAGUAUUUUAAAAUUUUUAAAAUAAAUAUUAUCUUCAACAAAAUGGGUUCCUUUCAUCUAAAAAUAUGAUAAAACCACAUUAAUCUUCAUUUUCAUAUCAAAGACUAUUACAAUGUCAAUUGUAUUAUAUUUAUGUAUAAAUUGUUUUUAUUCAAUAAAUCAAAUAUUUCUUAAUUCAAUUCUAAUUUUAUACACUUCCAAAAUUCAUAUUUAUUAUUCUUAAAAUUCAAAUAUCGAAUCUAUCGAUAUAUCUCAAUCUACCAAUGUUUUUCUUUUUGAUCAUAUCUAUGUCAAUUACACUUACAAAAUAACUCUAAAAUGUGUAUUCUUGCUUAUUAAUUUUAUCAUUUUUUGGAGUUUUUCCAAGCAUUCCUAUGAAUUUUAAAUAAUUUUUGCUCCACCAAUAUUUCUCUGAUAUUUCCAAUAUAUCCGUGAAAUGGAAGUACCGAUAUAUCUGUAAUUACUGAUAAUUUCAUUCUUGAUUCUAAUAUAUAUAUAUAUAUAUAUAUAUAUAUAUAUAUAUUAUAAUAAUAACAUUAUCACAUUAUUUCUAAAUAAUAUUUACUUUCUUUAAUAAUAAUUGUGUUGUUUCAUGAAUAUUAAAGUAUCAUGAAACUUUCUCAAAAAACAAAUAAAUCAUGUUAAGUAUUCAAUAGUAUAAAUAAAUUUAAAAGUGAUAAAUUUAUUUUGAAAAUGGAAAAUGCAUUUUAAUGGGGAUGAAAUAGUUUUGUCUCCAAUAUUGAGUUUUUACAAUAAAACAAUUUCUUCUCCAAUAAUUCUCUUAGUUCAUUCAUCUAGUGGUAUUAGGACAAUAUUUUUGUCUCCCAUUAUUAGGAUUUUUCUCUCCAAAAUUAUUUUACAACAACAUAAUUUUGUUACCCAUUAUUUACCUUUUGGGACGAUACUAGCUUUUUGUCUCCCAAUAUAUUUUGCACCAUGAACUAUUUUGUUGUUAAAAAUUAUGAUGUCGUCACAAAUAAUUUGGCCUCAUUUUAUAUUCAACUAAAACUUUAGACACAAAUUUUCGUAACAAACUCAAAUUUCGUCUCCUAAUAUCAUCUUUAGAGAUGAAAUUAUAUUCAUGGCCAAAAAAUUUGUGGCUGAAGGUCAAAUUUCUUGUAGUGACGAUCCCAAAUUCUUUGAACAAAAGGACAAUAUUUGAAAAUAUAGUUAAUAUUCUCAACAUUUUAUUUGCAUAGAUAACACAUGUUUGUAAUUUCCAACCUUUUAAAUAUUAAAAACUCACAAGUAGGGAGGACGUCUUUAAUAACAAGCCAUGGGAAAAUUUUUAUUUUUGGUAAAAGAUUUGACUUCCAAAUCCAAUGCAACAUUUUUUAUCUAGGGUGCAUCGAAGGCUUUUUCAUUGCCCAAGUUGCUUAUUUAAGAGUAAACUUACCAUUUUGAGAAAAAAUCCAAAAAAUCCUAUCCUCAAUGGGAGAAUAAGGGAUUGGAAUUGCUUUAACAUAUGCUAAAAUAUUUGAUGGAAGGAAUGUUGAAAUAACUUGGAGAUUCCAUUCCUUGGCAUCCUAAUUUAGAAAAUCAUGCACUUUGGCAUCCCAAUUGAUGUAAUGUAAGUUAUUUUCAUCCACAAAAGACACAAGAGGCAACGUAUAUACCCAGUAGUCUAUCCAGAAGUAGACUUUUCUACCAUCUCCUAUACACCAUUUCAAGCCAUACAAUUUACGUUGUUAGGCUUGUUCAAAAUAUACCAGGAUCUGGUGGGGUUGGGCUAAAGAGCCCUUGAGUAAUGCAUAGAUGAUGCAUUAGUUAUAGCCCAAUUCGAUUUUAGCCUUGGACACAAAGCCUCGGACCUCAUUGUGGAUUGUUUAUAUAACGUAAAUGUAACCAUAGGAUUUAAGUUAUACAAUACCAAAAACUAUUAAAAAAUUUGGUAUUUAUAUAACGCAAAUAUAACCAUAAGGAUUUAAAUUAUACAUACCAAAAACUAUUUAAAUAUCAUUAUAACGUUUCUGAUGGAGAAUCAAUAAUAAAAAAUUAUUCUCAUGUUUUUCAUAGACAUAAUUUUGUACUUGCUUGUACACGAUAUUCAUUAGGGUUUUGCAUUUGUUUGUUGAUGGGAUUCGUUUUAAGAAGAUAUUGAGGUUUGUGUCUUUACGAAGACGAAUCUCCUACUAAAGUCUCAAGCUCGAAUAACUUAUAUUAUCUGAUGCAAGUUUUUCCUAGCCACUUCACUUGUACUCUUUUUCUUGGUUAUAAACACAAUGGUUAAGGAGUUUUUAGACAAGAAAAAUAUUUAUUUUUAUGUGUUUUAUUUUUGCAGGCUACUUGCCUAUUAGUGAGUGUGUUGCCGCAUAAUGCCACGUGACUAGGGGAAUGUGGCUAAUUAUUUUUUACAUCAUUUUUUGUGUCUCUAAGAACUCGGGUCUUCAUUUUAAGGACUUGUUUUUAUUUAUUUAUUAUUUUUUAAUUGGGAUAGAUCAUUUUUAAUUUACUAUUAAGUUUUUUAAAUGUUGUAACAAAAAAAAAAAUCUCUUUUUUAUCAUAGAUUUAUCAUUAUAUAGUAUUAUCCUUGCCACAUGUGGUCUCAUCAUUCAACCAUAGGCUUUGUCUUCUCGAGGAAUUCGGGGUUGGGCUCGUGUUCCUUUUAAAGCAAACCAAAAUAAUGCUUAUAUUCAUGCGAACACGAAUUGCCUUCUCCAUGGCACAAGAGACUUAUUGAUCAAUCCUAAACUUCACAUGUUAAAGUUUCCAACUAAAGAAUAUGACUAACCCUCUCCUAUUUUUCUCACCUAUAUGUUCGUCUCUAGAGAAUUUAUAGGUGAGAAAAAAUUAUUUAACUUGCCAUUUUGUGCCAUUGGUGAAGCUCAUUGCCCCUAAGUGAGGUUUUCUAGCUACAUUGUGAUGCCACAUGGUAUAAGGAUAAUGACUAGUGCUUAAUUUUUCAAAUGUUGAUAGGAAAUGAUUAACUUGAAUCAUCAUAAACUUGUCUAUGGGACUUUUAUGCUUUUAGGUACAUGACCUUUUAGCUCGUGUUAUUAGUAAUACUGAUUCUUUUACCCUUCUUCUAAUGUUAAGAACUCAAAGUCUCCAUUUUUUGGAUGAAUCAAUUCCUUAUAUUUUAUUUAUAGUUUAUUUUUUAAGUUUUUCAAAACUCUUAAUUAACGUUUUUUUUAUAUUAUGGUUUAUACAACUUCAAGAAAUGUGUGAUACUUCAACUUUUUGUUCUGAAGUCAAAAUUAUGAUCAUAAAGUGUACACAAGUUUAGAAAGCACACAAUAGUCCUUUGAUUUUUCUUUGGCCUUUUCAACUUUAAGUGAACUGUAUAGCUUUGGAUGGACUUUUCAACUUUUGAAAGUAUACAAUCUCCCCUUGAAUUUUUUUGUUGGAUCUUUGACUAUAGGUGGACAUUUUGUCUUGGUGGGCAUUUUGCCUUUGUGAGCAUUUUGCCUUGAUUGAUCAUUCACUUUGGUUAGACAUUUCACUUUAUUUGGGCAUUUCAUCUUUAUGGAUAUUCACCUUGCUAAACAUUUUGUUUUUAUAGGCAUUUCACCUUGGCUUGUGAAUAUUUCUCCUCAAUUAUGCAUCUCACCUUAGUCGGGGAUUUCAAAUUGUUUGGUCAUUUAAUCUUUUUUAGGAGUUUUACCUUAAUGGACAAUUCAUCUUAUUUUAUAAGAUUUUGUAAGAAAGUUAAUAAUAUGUCAAUUUAAGAUAAAGAUAGGUAAAUGUUGAGACGAACAAAUGAUAAAAACGCAAUGCCUCAACGACAUGGGGCUUUUGUUCGUUAUUUAGAUGGGAGUCAUGCAGUAAUUGCUAUUUAAUCAUCUUUUCUACUUCAAAACCACUUUUGGUUUCCUCAUCCAUCGUUAAAAAGAUGUUGUAACACUAUCAAAACAACCCCUAUCUGGAUGACCUCUGAUCUUCGUAUACGUCCACCCCUCCCAUCGUAUAUAUUGAAUUUGGGUAUUGAAAAAUGUCGUGGAGCCACCUGCCUCAGAAUCAAAGAAGUAAAUGGUGUUGCAACCAUAUCGUUUAACAUUAUGAACAUCAUAUUACAUGUUCAAUAUUCCCGUUCCAAUCUAUAAAUCGACUUUUGUCUGGAAUGUACAAGAUGGCUUGUGCAGAACCGUCGCUGGCUUGCUCGGUGCUCGAAUACGAACUUGAGUCACUCAAUGGUGGAAUUGAUUCCUUUGGUCCAAAAUCUUGUUUAGGUAUACUAGUCGGUUUGGUUGCUCUCACAUCCUCUUCAAUGGGUGCAGCUGACUGGAGGGAAGGUCGAGAUUCCACGGAAUGGCCGUAGCUGUUGCCUUUAAGAUCUUGUUUUCCUGUCACAGAGCUUCCAAAGCUAAUAAGGGCGCAUCAAUUUCCUUUUCAUGUUCCUCUCGUUGCUUGUCCAGUCUUCUCUCAAGCUGCAAUAAUUUUUCUUCCACUGUGUUGGAAUAUUCUCUUAUCAUGCUCCUGAAAUCAUUAUUUAAACCAAUCUUUUGUUUCCUGAUUCCCACAAAGGAUGCAGUGUUGCGUCUCUGAAAAGUAAAAACCCUCUAUGAUGGGUUCCUGAAAUAAAUUACUAAUUGGGUUGAUGUUUGACCUGUCCUUUCAGGUAGUCCAUAGCUAUGCGAAUUACCCUGGUGGGCCUGCGUCAUAAGUAUCAUAGUAUGGUAGAGUGGGCUAGGUCUUGGAAUGAGAAGAAAACCCAAUUCACCAGACUUUUGGGCGUAUAAGACAGUUCGAGCCAAUUCGGUUUUGUCCUUGGGCAUGUACACGCAGCCCCGGACCUCGUCGUGGACCCUUUAUAUAGUGCAAAUGUAACCACAAGAAAGGAUAUUAAAUUUUACAGUACAACAAUAGCAAAAACUAUUAAAAAAAAGAAAAACAAAAACAAAAUCAUUUUUAAAUUCUUAUAUGCUUAACUUUUUUGACUCUUUCAAAUGAACUUAAAUUUAUUUACAUCAUCAAUUUAACCUAAGCCUGGACAGUUCAAGCCCAAAUUCCAGAACGAACUUUUGUAGCUAGCCCAAAACUAGGAUUUUUAAUAAAUUUAUAGUAAAUUAAAAAAAUUAUUUGUAAAAAUUGGCAGUUCCAAAACUAUUAACAAAAUUAUAGCACUUUAUGCCAUAUAAACUUCAUAAAAAAACGUCACAUUAUAAUUUAUCUUAAAAUCUUAUCUUGAAAAUACAAUUUCAUUGCAAAGUGUGAUGGACCUGAAAAUAUUUUUUAAGAUAUAAGAUUUUAAAAAAAAUAUUUUCUGAAAUUAUAGUAUUUUUAAAAAAAUUAAGCCGCCCAAAACACUAGAUCAGAGCAUGGACCCCGUUGGACUCCCCACUAACCUGAUACACGGUUUAUUUUUUUGUGUGCGAGUUUCCCCAGGUGAUAAUAAAACAUAGGAAUUUAUUUUUUUCAAUACCCAAAAAAAAAGUCCUGAAGAAAAUUUGUGGUUUGAAUUGUAUAGAAUUGAUAUUAAUUAUUCCGCGUUAGCCAGUAUGCAUAUGUACUUUUGAACUGCGAAUAAAGCUAUGAAGUAAUGGGCAGAACUGGCGUCCUUGCCAAUUGCCAUGUCCUCUGUGGUAAUCUUUGAGUGUGGUUGGACAUAUGCAUGGGAGAAUCUCAGAAUCCUGACAGCUUGUCUUGUGAGAAUAUGCCCUUGUUGGAAUAUUUAUUCUAAAUAGAAAUUAGGUAUAUAAAGAAGUUGAUAAUUGAAACCAAAAAUAUCUCGGGAUUAUAUUUUGAAGUAUUUAUGGUAAAAAUAUUUUUAUUAAUACUAUUUUUAUUAGAAAUUAUUUUAUUAAAAAUUAAUUAUUAUUUAAAUAAAGAUUAAAAAUUACUUUUAAUGAUGUUUUUCACUAAUUUAUUAUAUUAAAAAAAAUUAAGAGAAGCACAUUUCAAGUAUUAAAUCAAGAAUAAGUUUAAAUAUAUGAUUUUUAAACUUUUGUUAAAUAUCUAAUUUUUAUUAAAAAAAAUCACUUUAACAUUUUUAGAAUCAACUUUAGGCAUAAUGUAUAAAUUUUACCAUCUAACAAUGGUCUUAUUAUAUAUUAAAUUGAGUCACUUAGCUUAUAUGUCUUUAUGAAAACAUAAAUUUAUCCAAAAUCAUUGAAUACGCUUUUUUUUUUCUUUUAAUGCUUCCAUUUCUCACUAUUAUACAUAUUUUUAGAAAAAAAUUAUUUUCGAUCCCGUCAAAAUUUACAUUGAAUUCCUUAUUGUAAACAAAUAACACAUCAUUCCACUAAAAUAGGUUGGAAUGUCUGUAUACCUAAUUUAUUCAAAGAAGAUGGCAAUCUAGGUUAUCCCCUAUAACUUCCUAAAGCAUUUCUCAUAUAAUCGGUUUUUUUUUUCAAAUUUAACUCUUAGUAACUCCUAUGUUUAAAAUAAGAUAUUGUCUAAUUAGUCAAUUAAAAAUGUUUAGAGAAAUUCUAUUGCUAUUUUGCGAGGCAAUGCAUAUUGAUGUAAUGAAAGUGAAGAGCCUACGAUAAUGACAAAAUGCCACAAAUAAUCGACCUAUUUGUUAAGCUCAGUCUCACAAAAUCUACCUUCUUUGUCUUUAAUUAUAUUUGAAAAUAAUUUAUAAACCUUAUUAUGACCAUCAUUUAUUAAUGGUACAUACUAAAAAUAAAUAAAAUUUAAAUUUAAGAUAUUUAACUAAAAAUAUAUAGAAUUUUAUAUAUGUUAACCUCUUCAAUUUGUUUUAGAAAUAUUUUAUUUUGAAAACCGUCUUUUCUACAUGUAUCAACAAGCCACGUUGGUUUUUUUUUUUUUUAAAAGAAAUUACAUAGAAUAUUUGGGUUUGAUGGACCCACUAAUAUUCAUAAAUUAGUAAGAGGGGAUGAUCAUCCACCCUUAAAGAUGGAAUUUACGGUUGAUUUAGGUUGACAAUGAAUUCGGAUUUUGUGUUUGAUUGUAUUAAGAAUUCAAAACCAAAAUCAAUUUAUCAGUUAGAGUAGACUAAUAACAACUUGUCAUCUUCUAUAUGAAAAAGGUUAAUUCUAAACGAAAAAUAAUUAAAAUGUUAGAGUGGAUAUCAUGAAACAGAGACAUAAAUCAAUAAUAACCGUUCCAAAAAUUAAGAGCACUUCUAAUACAAUGGAGAGGAAUCUUUAGCAUUCCGUAUAAUAUAUCUAUUUUUGUGAUUAUUGCAACAAAUUAAAAUAAACUCAAAUUAUUCCAUAAAUAUAUUAAUUCCUCAAAUAAACAUACAGUAGUUUAUUUCUACGUACUUUUGAGUGAUGAGGCUUACAAUUUUUAAAACAUCAGAGAGAAACUUUUUUGGGUAGAGCCUUGAGUGGUUCCAACUUCCUCAUCACCAUGGCCAAAUUCUCUCUCAUGUCCAUGGUCUCAAGAGUGAUACUGCUGUCAAGUUGCCAGUCAAAAUGGUAAACCAAGGACCCCAGAACAAGGUGCACCAUCCGAUGAGCUAAUGGAACUCCCGCACACAUCCUUCGACCGGCUCCAAAGGGGAUCAGCUGGAAAUGUUGACCCUUAUAAUCAAUAUGGUUUAAGUCUAAAAACCUCUCAGGCUUGAAGGACGAAGGCUCCUCCCACAACUCCGCUUCCCUUCCGAUGGCCCAAACAUUCACAAACAGUUGUGUGUUUUUGGGAAUAUGGUAUCCCAUGAAAUUGGUGUCUCGAACUGCCUUCCGAGGAACCAGAAAUGGGAUUGGAGGGUGCAACCUGAAUGUUUCCUUCACGACAGCCUGUAAAUAUUGGAGAUCAUCAAUGUGCCUCUCUUCUAACUUACCGCUUGCUCCAACAACUCGUCCAAGCUCAGCUUUAACCUUCGCCAUGCAUUCGGGAUGGCGUAAGAGCUCCGUCAGUGCCCAUUCAACCGUGCUGCUAGUGGUUUCCGAUCCCGCCAUGAAUAUUUCCUGCACCAAUAGCCCUUUAUGUCAUUCUCAUUUUUUAUUUGCAUCAAACGGUUUUUCAAAUGUUGGUUUUGUAAGUUAUUAUUUUUUCUAAUCGAUGGUGUCUUAAUAAACAAAGUUACAAAUUUUUAGCCUUUGUCUUCUUUGCUUCUUCUCUCUUCCCCUUUAUUUAUUUAUUUAUUUAUUUUUAAAAUUUUAUCUAAAAAUUUUUUUAAUGGAAAAACUAUUAGCAAAAGUAUUUCAUACUUAAAGCAUUUCAACUAGAGUCAAAAUUUAGCAUAAUCUAAGAAUAGUACUCACAAUCAAUCUACAAAAUUGUUCAUAUGGAAAAAUAAAAUAUAAUUAUUAUUAUUAUUAUUAUUUUUACCAUUUUCUCUCCUAAUUCUAGAGUAAAUAAAAUAUAUUUUAUUUUAUCAUUAAAAUAUAAUAAAUUUUAGUAUCUUAAAAUAUUUAAAAUUUUAAUUAUAUAAAGUAAGAAAAAAAAUUAACUUUUGAUAUUUUGAGGUAUUUAAAAUAUAUAUGAAAUUACUAUUUUUAUUAAUUCCAGAUAGUAACAAGAAGAAUGUGAGUUGACGACUUACCAGAAUGAUGAUGUUCAAGUCCUUAUCUGAAAUUUGAGGUGGCUCAUUCUUUCCACUUCCUUGGAAGUCAAGUAACACAUCCAGGAAGUCCUUCUUAUGGUCCUCCGCAGCCGGCCCUCGUUUUAUCCGCUCUUGAACAAAUCCUGAAGCGAUUUUCAUGGCUAUUCCAAGGUCACGCUCCGCCUUCUUCCUUAAGCCCUGUGGGUCCAUCCAUCUCAGCCAUGGAAAAAAGUCCGCAGAGUUGGGAUGGCCUGGCCACUCCAUAACCCUGACCAUAACCUCGAAGAACUCCGACCCCUCCUUGGAUCCUGGAUGCAGCA